UAUAAUUACUGAAGUGAACCAUGCCAUUGGAGCAGAAGGAAUCAUCAGCGCCGAAUGCAAAGAAGUGGUCGGCGAGUAUGGAGAUCUGAUCAUCGAACUUUUGAUUGCACAAACUGAACCCAAGAAAAUCUGCAGUCAGAUCGGAGUCUGCAUGUUCAAUGGAAAACAAUCCGUGGGCUCUGGAAUCAGGUCUGUGGUUAACAAUAACUAUAAUACAAGCUCCGAUGAUCUUGUGUGCACUGCAUGUGAGCUAGCAGUGGGUUGGGUCCAGAAUCAACUUAAAAUAGACGAGAAUAAGGACAGGAUACUGACCUACAUCAACGAGCUUUGCGAGAAGCUACCCAGCCCCAUGGGAGAAUCUGUAAUAGAUUGCAACCGUCUUUCGGCCAUGCCAAACAUCACUUUCACCAUCGGAGAUAAACUCUUCAAUCUCAAACCUGAUCAGUAUAUG
rnacentral:lncRNA from 1 species